rnacentral:tRNA from 1 species
GGGCCGGUGGUCUAGCUGGUUAGGACAUCGCCCUCACGCGGCGAGGGUCGCCGGUUCAAAUCCGGCCCGGCCCACCA